rnacentral:rRNA from 1 species
AGAGUUUGAUCAUGGCUCAGGAUGAAUGCUGGCGGCGUGCCUAAUACAUGCAAGUCGAGCGGUAAGGCCCUUCGGGGUACACGAGCGGCGGACGGCUGAGUAACGCGUGGGAACAUGCCCCAAAGUGAGGGAUAACGCACCGAAAGGUGUGCUAAUACCGCAUAUGGUCUUCGGAUUAAGGAUUUAUCCGCUUUGGGAGUGGCCCGCGUACGAUUAGAUUGUUGGUGAGGUAACGGCUCACCAAGUCGACGAUCGUUAACUGGUCUGAGAGGAUGAUCAGUCAGACUGGAACUGAGACACGGUCCAGACUCCUACGGGAGGCAGCAGUAAGGAAUCUUCCACAAUGGGCGAAAGCCUGAUGGAGCAACGCCGCGUGCAGGAUGAAGGCCCUCGGGUCGUAAACUGCUUUUAUGAGUGAAGAAUAUGACGGUAACUCAUGAAUAAGCACCGGCUAACUACGUG